UGACAUGGUGAAGGAAGUGGAAAAGCGUCUUCCCUCCAAUCAAGCCAUUUUUCAGGGCAUGAUUGGACUUCACCCUUCGCGAGUCUUGUCUCAAACUGCACGACAUUCUGUUUUGCAACUUCCACUUCAACAUCUGAUUGAAGAAA
rnacentral:lncRNA from 1 species